rnacentral:rRNA from 1 species
CGCAAACUUUUUUUUCGAUAAGAACUCUAAAAAAAAAUAACGCUGUUAUCCCUAAGGUAAUUUAAUCUUAUAAUCAAUAUAAAAAAUGGAUCACUUACUCAUAAAUUAAUGGUUUAAUAUAAAAAAAGUUUAUUUAAUUUUUCAGUUGCCCCAACUAAAUAUGUAUAUAUAAGUUUAAAAUUAAAAUACUUAAGCUUUUAUACUUAUAUAUAAAUAUAAAAUUCUAUAGGGUCUUCUCGUCUUUUAAAUAUAUUUAAGCUUUUUUACUUAAAAAUAAAAUUCUAAUUAAAAUUAAAUUGAGACAGUCUCUCCCUCGUCAAACCUUUCAUACCAGUUCUCAAUUAAAAAACUAAUUAUUAUGCUACCUUUGCACGGUCAAAAUACCGCGGCCAUUUAAAAUUAAUAUUCAUAGGGCAGGUCAGACUUUAAAUUAUAAUCAAAAAGACAU